UUUUGCUUACCAGUUUUGGUUUCUAUCCCUCUCUCCUCCCCACGGCCCCUUGAACAUUCUAAUUUGAGCAAGAGAAAAAUAACUGCAGAGUAAAGAGACACUGGAGACCUGGGUCCUGGUUGGGCUAGUGGGUUUGCCAAGUUUUGAAGUGUGUGACUGAACUACGGAGUUAUCUAGUGGCAGAGCAUUCUAGAUGAGACGACAAAUAAUACCAGCUAACAUUUACUGAGAACUUCCUGUGCAUCAGGCAUUUAUUGAAGGUGCUUCACCCAGAUGUGUCCUGAUCCCUUCGGACCUGGUUACUGUGCCCCAUAAGUGAAAGCUUCCCUGGGUCAUCUGCAGAAGCCCUGGAAGUCCAAAGAGGUGAUGAGCACAGCUUUGCAAGUGAGACCGUCCUGGAAUUCCACCCACAGCACUGAGGAGCAAUGUGCACUCCCAGAGUCCUUCUGAGCCUCAAUUUUCUCAUCUGCAAAAUGGAAAAACAAACAAACAAACAAACAAAACCCCACCCACCCCUAUAGGACUGCAGUGAGGAUUACACGUGACGUAAACAUCCUGGCUAUCAUGACACCUUCAAAAUGAUUCAUAUUUUUAUAAAAAUGCUCUGGGCUUUAA